GGGUUCGCGCCAUUUUCCUGCCUCAGCCUCCCGAGUAGCUGGGACUAUAGGCACCCGCCACCACGCCCGGCUAAUUUUUUGUAUUCACAGUACAGACGGGGUUUCACCGUGUUAGCCAGGAUGGUUUCGAUCUCCUGACCUCGUGAUCCGCCCGCCUCUGCCUCCCAAAGUGCUGGGAUUACAGGCGUGAGCCACCGCGCCCGGUGGAAAGGACACUUUUUUACAGUAUGAGCACUGAAACAAAAAGGCAAAGCAAGGUCUGUUCACCUUCAGCUGAGAACGUGAGGAUUGGUUCAGGAGUACAUGCGCAGGUUUGUCAUAUAAGCAAAUUAUGUGGCACAGAAGUUUGGUGUAUGGAUUAUUUCAUCACCCAGGUAUAGAUGAAGGAGAGGCUGGUGUCUGCUUUUCACCUGAAGAUUCCUGGGAAUCACAUUUGCCUGAAGCAUUCAUAAGAGCAUGGCAAAAGGGGCAGUUGCUCUGUUGUGCCAGGAAGAAGAUGGAGGUAACCCCAUGCCUUCAUUCCAGUUAUCCAAAGCUCUCAAAGCUGUAGAAGAGAACUUCAAAGUUCUGUUUUAUUAUUAUUAUUAUUAUACUUUAAGUUCUGGGACACAUGUGCAGAACAUACAGGUUUGUUACAUAGGUAUACAUGUGCCAUGGUGGUUUGCUGCACCCAUCAACCCGUCAUCUACAUUAGGUGUUUCUCCUAAUGCUAUCUCUCCCCUUGCCCCCCACUCCCUGACAGGCCUCGGUGUGUGAUGCCACCCCCACCCUCGUGUCCAUGUGUUCUCAUUGUUCAACUCCCACUUAUGAGUGAGGACAUGUGGUAUUUGGUUUUCUGUACCUGUGUUAGUUUGCUGAGAAUGAUGGUUUCCAGCGUCAUCCAUGUCCCUACAAAGGUCAUGAACUCAUUCUUUUUUAUGGCUGCAUAGUAUUCCAUGGUGUAUAUGUGCCACAAUUUUCUUAAUUUAGUCUAUCAUUGAUGGGCAUUUGGGUUGACUCCAAGUCUUUCCUAUUGUGAACAGUGCUGCAAUAAACAUACAUGUGCAUGUGUCUUUAUAGUA
rnacentral:lncRNA from 1 species